GAUGAACGCUGGCGGCGUGCUUAACACAUGCAAGUCGAACGGAAAGGCCAGUGCUUGCACUGGUACUCGAGUGGCGAACGGGUGAGUAACACGUGGGUGAUCUGCCCUGUACUUCGGGAUAAGCUUGGGAAACUGGGUCUAAUACCGGAUAGGACAACUUUUUGGAUAUUGUUGUGGAAAGCUUUUGCGGUAUGGGAUGAGCUCGCGGCCUAUCAGCUUGUUGGUGGGGUAAUGGCCUACCAAGGCGUCGACGGGUAGCCGGCCUGAGAGGGUGUACGGCCACAUUGGGACUGAGAUACGGCCCAGACUCCUACGGGAGGCAGCAGUGGGGAAUAUUGCCCAAUGGGCGCAAGCCUGAUGCAGCGACGCCGCGUGGGGGAUGAAGGCCUUCGGGUUGUAAACUCCUUUCGCUAGGGACGAAGCUUUUUUGUGACGGUACCUGGAGAAGAAGCACCGGCUAACUACGUG
rnacentral:rRNA from 1 species